rnacentral:rRNA from 1 species
ACACAUGCAGUCGACGAUGAACCACUUCGGUGGGGAUUAGUGGCGAACGGGUGAGUAACACGUGGGCAAUCUGCCCUGCACUCUGGGACAAGCCCUGGAAACGGGGUCUAAUACCGGAUACUGAUCAUCUUGGGCAUCUUGGAUGAUCGAAAGCUCCGGCGGUGCAGGAUGAGCCCGCGGCCUAUCAGCUUGUUGGUGAGGUAAUGGCUCACCAAGGCGACGACGGGUAGCCGGCCUGAGAGGGCGACCGGCCACACUGGGACUGAGACACGGCCCAGACUCCUACGGGAGGCAGCAGUGGGGAAUAUUGGCAUCAAUCGGGCGAAAUGCCUGAAUGCAAGCGAACGCCGCGUGGAGGGAUGACCGACGUACGGGUAGUAAACCUCUUCCAGCAGGGAAGAAGCGAAAAGUGACGGUACCUGCAGAAAGAAGCGCCGGGCUAAACUACGUGCCAGCAGCCGCGGUAAUACGUAGGGCGCGAGCGUUGUCCGGAAUUAUUGGGCGUAAAGAGCUCGUAGGCGGCUUGUCACGUCGGUUGUGAAAGCCCGGGGCUUAACCCCGGGUCUGCAGUCGAUACGGGCAGGCUAGAGUUCGGUAGGGGAGAUCGGAAUUCCUGGUGUAGCGGUGAAAUGCGCAGAUAUCAGGAGGAACACCGGUGGCGAAGGCGGAUCUCUGGGCCGAUACUGACGCUGAGGAGCGAAAGCGUGGGGAGCGAACAGGAUUAGAUACCCUGGUAGUCCACGCCGUAAACGGUGGGCACUAGGUGUGGGCGACAUUCCACGUCGUCCGUGCCGCAGCUAACGCAUUAAGUGCCCCCGCCUGGGGAGUACGGCCGCAAGGCUAAAACUCAAAGGGAAUUGACGGGGGCCCGCACAAGCGGCGGAGCAUGUGGGCUUAAUUCGACGCAACGCGAAGAACCUUACCAAGGCUUGACAUACACCGGAAAGCAUCAGAGAUGGUGCCCCCCUUUGUGGUCGGUGUACAGGGUGGGUGCAUGGGCUGUCGUCAGCUCGUGUCGUGAGAUGUUGGGGUUAAGUUCCCGCAACGAGCGCAACCCUUGUUCCCGUGUUGCCAGCAGGCCCUUGUGGUGCUGGGGACUUCACGGGGAGACCGACCUGGGGUCAACUCGGAGGAAGGUGGGGACGACGUCAAGUCAUCAUGCCCCUUAUGUCUUGGGCUGCACACGUGCUACAAUGGCCGGUACAAUGAGCUGCGAUACCGCGAGGUGGAGCGAAUCUCAAAAAGCCGGUCUCAGUUCGGAUUGGGGUCUGCAACUCGACCCCAUGAAGUCGGAGUCGCUAGUAAUCGCAGAUCAGCAUUGCUGCGGUGAAUACGUUCCCGGGCCUUGUACACACCGCCCGUCACGUCACGAAAGUCGGUAACACCCGAAGCCGGUGGCCCAACCCCUUGUGGGAGGGAGCUUCGAA